UGGUUGAUCCUGCCAGUAGUGUAUGCUUACUCCCAAGACUAAGCCAUGCAUGCCUCGAAUAAGAAUGCAGCUAUUCUCUGAAUCUGCGUACGGCUCCGAAAACCAGUUGUAAAUUGUUGCGAGCCCUGUCCGUCUUGUCUUCGGUUUUGGGUACAGGUUUCGGGCUCACGGGUCGCGCAUUCCUGUUUCCCUCUUCAGGCUGUACGUAGGCGGGCGAUAUGGAUAACCCCGGUAAUUCUGGGGCUAAUACAUGACUUGUGAAUCGCCAACAGCGCUCAGUCCCCAUUUGUUCUUUUUGCUCAGAGGCGACUAGUGACACAGGAAGCCUGAAGGCGGCGUGGGUACUCAUUUGGCCCCCAGAUGAUAGGAGUAAGGGUACUAUUUCCUCGGACCACAGCCCGAGUUUACUCGGGAAGAGCUGUCGCCCCGGCGGUUCUCUUUUUCUCCCCUGCCAGCCCAGCUCAGGGACCCCCCCUAGGUAAGGCUCAGGUGGAGAAUUCCCCCGCUGGCGAAUCGUCGGCUUUGUGGCUCUCGCGGGGUGCUUCUGACCUAUCAACUAGAUGGUAGCAUACGGGACAUGCAAUGGUUACAACGGGUACAGAGGAUAAGGGUUCGAUCCUGGAGAGUGAGCCUGAGAGAUUGCUCAUACUUCUAAGGAAGGCAGCAGGCGCGCAACGUUCCCCUUGGGCGCUAGCUCGAGGGCGUUAGGGAGAAUAGUAAUACUUGCCUAUAUGGUGAGUAAUUACAAUGGGAC
rnacentral:rRNA from 1 species